CGUAACACGUACAGAACCUUCCUUCGAGUGGGGGAUAGCCCGAAGAAAUUCGGAUUAAUACCUCAUAGUAUUAUCGGGUGGCAUCAUUUGAUAAUUAAAGAUUUAUUGCUUGAAGAUGGCUGUGCGUAUGAUUAGGUAGUUGGUUGAGGUAACGGCUCACCAAGCCUUCGAUCAUUAACCGGUGUGAGAGCACGACCGGUCACACGGGCACUGAGACACGGGCCCG
rnacentral:rRNA from 1 species